UAUAGCAGACCCUUGAACAACACAGGCUCGAACUGCACAGGUCCACUUACAUGCAGUUUGUGGAUAAAUGUAUUUUUCUUCUGAGAACACCUUGAAUAGUAACAGCUCCUGGAUAUAAAUGUACUGCCAAAUCUUCUGAUUCUGCAGAACUAUAACAACGGAAUGAAGAAAAGAAAGUGUAAGAGCUUUUGUGUACAGUAGUUACAAACUAAUAUGGUGCAGAAAGAGACCUGGUUUUACUACAUAAACCACUGAACAAAUGGGAGUUGAAAUGAACAAAUAAUUACUGAAAUAACUUGUCUAAAUCCUGGACCUGCGGUUUAUGGAAAAAUUUCUUAACAAAGACAAAAUGAAUGAGAACUUAUUAGCAAAGUAAAUGCUCUGACAGUAGCCUUUGAAUAAGUGGAUUUUUGUAUUGCUCAUCUAGUAACUAGCAGCAUUAGAAAGACCUGUGUGGUUACAAGGCUACCAGCUUGGAAUUAUUUUGCAACUGGCUCAGUGGAUCAGCAAGAG